CUCCUCGAAUCAGGUAGGGAUACCCGCUGAACUUAAGCAUAUCAAUAAG
rnacentral:rRNA from 1 species